AUUUUUUUUGUUUAUUUACUUUUAACCUGUCUUGGUACAUUUAUGGAGUUCACGCAAGAUGUACCAUACAUCUGCUCAAACGAGAGAACAUGCGUUUUAGAAUCGAGAGAGACGAAAAUAGUGGAUAACACUACAAAAUAAGAACAUAUUACUAUAGAAAAUGGUUCAACUGCCUGUUUCAUUGAUCCAAAUACUCGAGGAAUAAAAUUCAGGAUAGAUUAAAUCUACUGGAGUUAAGCCUCAUGAUGAGGAUGACUAAAAAAUAAGUUACGACCUGUGAGAUAUACAUAUAUCAUUAAACUAUGUUAAUAGGUAACUGAGAGAAACCAUGACACCAAUCAACUUUGAAAGUGUAUCGAAAGUAUUGUCAAACCAAUGUUGCGCCCAUUUCUAUAUUCCAAAAAAUUGUUAUUACAUUAAACUCCAUACGUUGAGUUUCCUUUCAUUUAUGAAUGGAUAAGGUAAUGUGAUAUUGAAACAAUAAAUCAUUCAAUUACA